rnacentral:rRNA from 1 species
UACGUAGGGUCCGAGCGUUGUCCGGAAUUAUUGGGCGUAAAGGGCUCGUAGGCGGUUUGUUGCGUCGGGAGUGAAAUCCCCCAGCUUAACUGGGGGCUUGCUUUCGAUACGGGCAGACUUGAGGCAUGCAGGGGAGAAUGGAAUUCCUGGUGUAGCGGUGAAAUGCGCAGAUAUCAGGAGGAACACCGGUGGCGAAGGCGGUUCUCUGGGCAUGUUCUGACGCUGAGGAGCGAAAGUGUGGGGAGCGAACAGG